UUUCUGUGAGCUUUUCCCAAGGACAGAAAGCAGUUUACAGGCCCUGAUGGUUUCAGCUGCAGUGAAGAAGAGCACCUGCAGGAAGCUGGCUAUAGUAACUUGCUGCUCAGCUAUGCCAUCCCUGUGAAAGUGAUAAUAGCCCUUUAUGCUGCAGCCCCUAUAGAAGAUCAGUCACUGAAGUUAACAGAAGCACACACGGAUGGGUAUUGCAGCGUAUAUUAAUUUCAGCUGAAGAAACAAGAUGGUUGCGAAGAAAGAGGAAAGACAACUCUCACUGCCUCAAUCAGAGAGGAAGGAUGCAUUGACUUCCUGAAUUUGGAAGGAGAGAAUAAGAAUUAAUUCCCUCCUCAUCGCUGUCGCAGCCCCAUUCUGCCUUGUUUUCCUCCAGAUGGUUAAAGGGCCGAGCGAUGGGCAGUUCUUUAAUAUGCAGAGCCACCACGGCCCUGUCUUCUCAAAGGUGAAAGUGGCUUAGCAAAUAUCUAGCUUCUCUAAGAACAGCUUAUGGUGUAUAUUUGAGUGAAGGAUUUUUUGGAAAAAAAAAAAAAAAGA